GUGUUCAUCCAAGCUUUUUAUAAUCUCUAUAAAUUUUUGCGUGUGUGCACAGGUAGUUCCAUCGCAGAUGUGGAUGCUAGCUUUAUCCAAGCUUAGAUAAGUGCUUAUUUUCUCAAUGCUUUGAUAUAUAUCUGUUGUUGCAUAAUUCAUAAUGAGUUGUGCCAUUGUGACUGAAACUUACUGCAGCUUUAAUCGCAAGGUUCUUUUAGUUUCUGGUAGUGAAACUUACUUCCGAUAACCAAGAAGACAAAUGGUAUAGAAGAUGAAGCAAAGUUCAGACGAUAUUUGACAAUCAGAAAGCGCUAAAAGUGUAGAAAGGGCCUUGAUCUGUCGACUUUUCCAACUAGCAAGCAUGCAAGAUGAAUAGGUUAUUGUGCGUUCAUUAUUUCAUUAUGUUGUGGUUUGUGUGUUCCAUGAGUUUGUCAAAACGACAGCAGUGUCGGUUACUGCUGUUCUUUCAGGCUAUCAGAAGAAAGUUGGCGACCGGCAAGGCGGUGCAGCCAUGGAUGAUCCAUUAUUAUCGUUCAUCAGAGUCCAGUAAGUGUGAAUUUUGGGGAUGCUCUAUUGUUUUC